CUGAUGCCACCUGCACAACGUCCUUGAUCAUGACUAAAGAUAAGCUCUAGAGGUCUGACUUCAUCAUUGCUAGGCCAGUUACUAACAACCAAGCUUGUAAGAGUUUUGGAGUUAGGCAAAGGGCAGAUUUGCUGCAAGUAGAGGGAGGUGAAGCAGGAUGGAAGAAUCUACCCCCUGCUGGCUUUGAGCUCUGUGGCUCUUGCCCUCUGAGCCCAUUGCACAAAAAGAAGGAUGUGUUUUCACAGGUGCAAGCACUGUGCUUAUUAUGGAGGAGAGCCUUUGUGUUCCCUGUGUUCCCUGAAAAAAAACAACACAAAGUAUAUAGGUUUGAAAUACACGCCGUGCAUCUCCAGUGGGAAUGGGGCAGACCUAGGCCCCUACAGUCUUCUGUGGCUGACAGGAAACUCUGUUGUGCAGAGAGUGAUAGGUAAUGUUUGUUCUCAGACCUGUGAGGUUCUUUGUACAAUGUCAACAUCAACUGCAGACAAACAUUUGAGGGUCAGAAUUGGUGGACCAAAGUGUAACUAUCUUUUCUUACAUGUCUCUACAACAUUCAUGAUUCACUGGUGUUUUUAGGCUUGAACAGAAAUCUAACUUGUACAAGUCAUAAAUCAACCUGCAAUUACCACAGCACCCAUAUGAAAACACCUUCCAAGAGAAAGCAGAUUUCAGUUUGAAGCCUGGUUAUUUCACAUAAUAAGAUAAAUUCUUCACUGACGUCAGUGUGGAAGGGGUGUGAGUCACCGCUGAAUUUGCACCAGUUUUUGCCAAGAAGAUGGGAAUGAUAAAAUGCACCUUGGCAAUGUCCUUUUAGUGCAAGUGAAAUUUGCCCAAACACUCUUGCACUCACUGGAGUGAGUGAAUGGGCCUGGGCAUAAUGAGAAUGAUCUUUUUUUCAUCUGCAUGUGCUUCCUAUCACCAAACAAAUGUGUGCCUGCUUUUGGAAAGAAAACCACAUUUUAUGCAGCAAACUAGCUUUUAAUCAGUGCUGAGUAACAGUGAUGCUGCCUGCCUGCCUUACCUUUUAUUGCAUCAGGAGCAUCUCAAAAAGAUGAGCUUUGCCAUUAGUAUAAUCUUUUAAGUAUAAUACUUAUCUUUUUGAUUAAGUCCUAGGCAGGGCUUGGGCACGGGCUGUUUGGUAGUGUGGUAGAUUACCUUACUUAAACAAAUAGUGAUCCUGUGCCAGGCACUGCAGCAUUCUUGGCAGGUAAAGCAGUAAUAUGGCAGUCAUCCUUCAACUUGUCAAAUGGUUCCAGGUAUGCUUGCAGAUGUCAUCUGCAGUUGCCUGAAAUCGUUUACUUUACAAUGACAAUGAGAGAAAAAAGAGCAGAGCUGAGACAGAAGAACUGAACAGAAAAGCUGUGUGUCUGUUGGUAAACAGCUUUAUAGGUUUAUGUGCAACUUUUAGUGAGCUUUAUGAGCUAUAGUUAGCUUAAUUUCUACUGAAGUUGAAGGAGUGAAUUUAUCUUUCUGCUAGCAAUUGAGAAAUCAAAAAUAUUUCACUGACAUUUUGCUGUUUAGUGUAAGAAUUUGGAUAUAAGAAUGAAAAAUAACAGAUUGUUUGUCUUUUGUCUUUUUUGAAUGUUUGUCUUUUUGGUAUUUUAAUAGGUGUGUUCCCUAACUCCUGACAGAACUGGGACCAUUAAAAGUGAAAAACAGACAGCAGUGCUUGGAAUCUCCCUGGUAAAGAAAGUGGAAAGCUUCACUUAGAAGUUCAAUGAGAAAGAGUCAAAGUGGGAUGAUAAGUAUGAAUGAUGAUUCAGCUGAUGAUGGAUUGGCCCCCACUGUGAAAACGAAGGAUGUUCAGCCCAGUUACUUAAAAGGCUUGGGUGUUAAGACUGGAGGUCUAGUACAGAACACUCUGCUUUUCAUUGAUCAUAAGUGAUGGAAAGUAAACAUCAUUGCACAGUGGGUGGAUCACAUGUGAGACAGCAAGGUUUGAGCUGCAAAAUUCAUAAAGUCAAAACACAAAGCCCCAGAGCUUGGGCUGACAAAAUUGGAAUCCACAGUCUUGUAACUCUAGUGUGACAGGCAAGCAGAGGAGCGUCAAGACCUCUUUUCCACACUGGAAGUAAAGUCCCAAGCCUGGAAUCUCUCUUUCACAGGAGCCCAUGUUAUAUCCUGCAAGGACAAAGACACCUGUUUUGAUAUCUAAUGUACUUGCUGGUAUUUCUCUUGCCCAUCCCUUCCCGUUUCCCAGGGAUUCCAUUUCAGUUUGUCAGCAAUCUCAAGAACACCCAAGUGAAGAGGAAGGGAAAAGCCUGCCUGGAGUGUGUGCUAACUCCUGAAGGUGCCAUCCUGAAGGGGAUGAAAAAUGGAUGAGUGAUAGAGAGGUCUCCUGAGUACACCAGGAGGCAAGAAGGGAAGAGAGCAGAGCUUACCAUUUAAUGCAGCUGAGCUGAGUGACUGAGGAGCUUGCACAGUGAUCACAGGGUACACGAGACAGUGACCCCAGUGAGCAGUACAGCAGUGCCAUAGCAGCUGUGGGAGGUAAGUGGGGAUGACUCAAGAGAGGAAGAAGAGGAGGAAUAUUUAGUCUUUACACUGUUUUUUGGUGUGAAACUCUCCAGUAGAGCAGUGCUGCUUUGCUGGGACACCUAGGAAACUUGUAAAAUGCUGAUCUGCAGUCUUUUUAUUGUUUAACGUAAAAUAAGCUGUUAGUCUGUACCUUCUGUUGGUAGUAUGAAGGUAAUAAUGAAGGACUUUUUUGCUGUAUGGAGUGGUAGAAGCAUAAAGUAGUAAAUCUUUCAUUUAAGUCCUUACACCUGUCACCUAAACCAGACCAGUAAAAUGUAUUGCAUGUUUUAUUUUAGGCAGGAUUGCCCUAAUGCUUUCUUACCUUGAUUCUUUGAAGUGACCCAUGUGACUUGGACUUGACUGUAGUCUGAUGAGGACAGCAGCACAGCAGGAGGCUGAUUCUCCAGUUAUUGAAGAAUCUGUCCUUGAGAUUUUUGCUACACACAGUGUCACUGUGAAGAACAAAGCAUGCUGCAAGCAUCAAGGUCCUUUCCAAGGCAAAGCCAAGGCCCAAAGUCACAUCAAGGACAGUAUGGAGGAGACAGAGGAAGAAAACGUGGUGUUGGAGAAAGCCAGUGGCUGCAUUACAACCAAAACCUUGGUUUGACAUCCUGAAAUGAGACCAUCUCUGUAUUCACAUCUGCAAGCUGUGGACUCUCCUGCUGUCACAGAGCCUUCAGAACUGAUGAAGGUGGUGAAUUUUUCAACUCCAGCCUUGGCAGGGAACCAGACUGUGGAGAUGUUGUGUCAGGAUACACAUUAGAGACAUGAGUUGAAGUCACUAAAAAGCAGAAGAAAUGCCCCAAGAUCCCUAUCUCUAGUAUCACUUACAGACAAAUACUGCUUCUGAACCCAAGCCAUGAGUGAAGCUGGUAUGGGAGAAGAAGCCUUGUUAGAGGAAGGAAUUCUAGCAGUAUCACCUUCAGGUAAGACCUGUGGUAUCCAUCUAGCUGGAACUCCUAUCUGUCAGCUGUUACUUUCAUUUGUUUUUAACAUAUACCACAUUUUCUAAAGCUUUAUCAGAUUCAUCUUGCACCAUAAAAAAGCAUUUAUCAUCACAGCUUGGCUGGGUUUUGUUCAGUUUUCACAGAUUCUGAGAGGAGAUGGAGAACAACACAAAGUUGUGCUAUCCUUGAACCAAAUUUAAAUAAUUCUGCCAUUCUUCUUGCUAAGCUGUCCCCUGAAUGAGUGUGUCAGGUAUAAUGGUGUAAUAGUUGGUUUUUUCCACCACAUGACUUCUCACAUCACACCUCUCAUGUGGUUACAGAGGUCGCUGUUGGAAGGUUCCCUGAUUCCUGACAUGGAUUCAGUAUUCUGAGUUUGGACAGUUGAUGCUACAGUACACAAACCAUCAUGUUUGAAACAGCCAUUUGCUGUAAAUAUGUGGUGUUACUGAGACAGGAUUAUGAUCCUUUCAGGCCCGCAGUGAGCACUCAGCAUUCUGGCACCAAAAGCUGAAGUAAUAUUAGCAGAGGUCAUGCUUCAAGUACACUAAUUAUGUCUUGAGAAUGAAGAUAUGAAUGAGAAUGACCUGCCAUGAAAUCCCCAGCUACCAACCGAGGUAGCAAACCAUCUAAGUCUUUGUUGUUUAGAACUUGUUUGCUUAAUUAUUAAUUAGAAAAUUCAGGCUUUUUGUCUAAGAUACUCCCAGGUGACAAAGCAUGGUGCUGGCUGUCCUCAGCAGCAGUAAGGCCAGCAGCAAUAGGUGACUCAUGAGUAGAGCAGAAGGACUUCCAGGUUUCACUGAGGAAAUCUCAGAACAGAACAUCCAGGUGGCCAAUAUGAAAAAUGGUAAUUUCUCUUCUCAGUCUCUACGUUGGAAUUGCACAACCCAUCUGUGGAGCGUAGCUUUGUUGCUGUAUCAUCAAAGAAACACCAAAAAAUCCCAGAGAGACUGUAGGCUCCAGACAAACUUCUCUAGUGUGGCAUGGCAACAUGAAGUACUGUCCUGAAAAGUAUGAGGAGUCCUGUAAGAAACAGACAUUAUACAAAACUGCUUGUGGCAGAAUUUGGACAGUAAAAUCAUCAAAUGAGGCAUUAAAGCUGCCUUUUGCUUUCUUUGUUCUCAUUCAUGUAUUACAUGUAAACUACACUUUUUUGGGCACAUUUUUAACAAUAUUUUAAAAUAUUCCUGUUCCACCCACCUCACCUGAAAUUGUCCUGAGUAGGUGCUCAUCAGAAAGCUGAUUGCAUUUAUGUUUUUCUUGUGGUUGCACAACUAUUGAGAGAAGAGCUGACAACAUUUUAACCCUUACAUGUAGUGCCUUCUGCUGAAAUAGUCUUAAGGGUUCUUCUUACAGUCUCUGAUGUGACUCAACAGGCUGAAGAGUGGCUUUACCUUUCUGUGCAAUCUCUCACUCUCUUAUUUUUAUUUUUUUUUCUCUCUCUGUCUGUUUUCUUUUAUUCCUGCCUGCCCAGGUUUGAUCUGACUGUGAGGCUGAAGAGCCACAUGGUGGUUUGUGCUGGGACAGCACCAUGCCUUUGCACAUCUUUUCUGUGAGCUUCUGUGUUGUGUCCUGUCAGAGCAGGAAUCUUGCAAUAAGUGUUUUCUUGGGCAUCUGGUGAAAUACAGCAAGGUUUGGGAGCCUGGAGCUGUCCUUCAGCCUUUAUCACGAGCUGUCACUCUGGUUUCAAAGUUGGCUAUUGGAGAAAAGUCAUGCAGAGCUUCAGGUUAACAAAGUCCUGCCUAACUGCUCAGUGUUUUUAUGGCAAGCCUUUUUAUAGGCCUCCCUGUGGUGAUAGAGGGACUUUUGUGCACACAGGUUUGUCAGCUGCACAAUCCAGCCCUUCACAGGCGGGGCACGGUGCUCAACAAGCCAUAAAACAUUGGGGAGGCCCUGUGAUUCGCCAUGAGAUGCAGAAUUUUUCAAGCAUGCAACUACAGUUCAUGUUAGGUGAAGAGAAAUCAUUCUUGGUUAAACCUUGAGUGACCUUUGGUUGUAAAGACAAUGCUUGAGGUCCCAACAAGCCUGUCUGAGGUACAAUUUAUAUCAUUUAUAUUGAUGUGGAUGUUGAGCUCAUUUCUAUAGAUGCUAACAGCAAUUUAUAUGCUUUCUUUUUUUUUUUUUUUUUUAAUCCUAGACUACUACAUCAGCUGAGCCUCUGCAGGAGGCUUGCAAAACAAGCCCCACUGUAAGAAGGUACCUCUCAGUUUGAAUUGUACAAGUUGAUCUGUCUCACACCAGCUGUCUUCCCUCGGCUUCCAAGAUGAUCAAACUAAUGAACUGUAGCAUGAGGUUAUGUGGAAUCUCCCAGGCCAUGCCAGCUGUGUGCGCUUUGCUGGGGACAAAGCUUGCCAUUGCCUUUGCAGAUUGAAGAAAUCUCCAGCACUGGUGUCCUUGAAACGUUUUUCUAUCGGGCUGAUUCCGAUAGAAGUAGCUCCUGUAGCCACAGACAUCCCUGUUGUGCUCAAAGAUGGGGAUUGUUUCUGUUGCUGCCUAAGCCAGGAAGCAGAACUUCACAGCUGCAGUUGUCUUGGCCAGUGCUCCCCACCACCACCACCAGUGGUGUGGCAAAAAGAGGGAGGACAAGAACCAUUGCCAGUCCUGACCCACAGCACCAAGAGAUUUGUUUCUGACCUGUUUUCCCAUUAUCCUCAAGAGGAGUUGCAGAGUUGUCCUUUACAACAUUAACAUGCUAGCUGCAGGUACAGUGUAGAGAAAACACCAUCACCUUGGGGUAAUGACAGGAGGUACUCUUCUGCUGAUGGAAAUUACACACAAUUUCUGCAUCAGUAUUAGGGUUAGGAAGGUUGGGGUUUUUUUUUCUUAAAAAACAAAAAAAAAAACCAAAACAAAACAAACCAGAUGCUUCCAA